UACGUAGGGGCCGAGCGUUGUCCGGAGUUAUUGGGCGUAAAGAGCUCGUAGGCGGUUUGUCGCGUCUGCUGUGAAAACCCGAGGCUCAACCUCGGGCCUGCAGUGGGUACGGGCAGACUAGAGUGCGGUAGGGGAGAUUGGAAUUCCUGGUGUAGCGGUGGAAUGCGCAGAUAUCAGGAGGAACACCAAUGGCGAAGGCAGAUCUCUGGGCCGUAACUGACGCUGAGGAGCGAAAGCAUGGGGAGCGAACAGG
rnacentral:rRNA from 1 species